rnacentral:rRNA from 1 species
AAGGAAUAUUGGUCAAUGGACGCAAGUCUGAACCAGCCAUGCCGCGUGAAGGAUGAAGGUCCUCUGGAUUGUAAACUUCUUUUAUCUGGGACGAAAACGGGAUUUUUAUCUCAAUUGACGGUACCAGAGGAAUAAGCACCGGCUAACUCCGUGCCAGCAGCCGCGGUAAUACGGAGGGUGCGAGCGUUAUCCGGAUUUACUGGGUUUAAAGGGUGCGUAGGUGGGCUUAUAAGUCAGUGGUGAAAUCUCCGAGCUUAACUUGGAAACUGCCGUUGAUACUAUAGGUCUUGAAUUAUCUGGAGGUAAGCGGAAUAUGUCAUGUAGCGGUGAAAUGCUUAGAUAUGACAUAGAACACCAAUUGCGAAGGCAGCUUACUACAUAUAAAUUGACGCUGAGGCACGAAAGCGUAGGGAUCAAACA